UCGGGAAUUUUGGGCAAUGGGCGAAAGCCUGACCCAGCAACGCCGCGUGAAGGAUGAAGUAUUUCGGUAUGUAAACUUCGAAAGAAUGGGAAGAAUCAAUGACGGUACCAUUUAUAAGGUCCGGCUAACUACGUGCCAGCAGCCGCGGUAAUACGUAGGGACCAAGCGUUGUUCGGAUUUACUGGGCGUAAAGGGCGCGUAGGCGGCAUGACAAGUCACUUGUGAAAUCUCUGGGCUUAACCCAGAACGGCCAAGUGAUACUGUCGCGCUAGAGUGCAGAAGGGGCAAUCGGAAUUCUUGGUGUAGCGGUGAAAUGCGUAGAUAUCAAGAGGAACACCUGAGGUGAAGACGGGUUGCUGGGCUGACACUGACGCUGAGGCGCGAAAGCCAGGGGAGCAAACGGGAUUAGAUACCCAUGUAGUCCCUGAG
rnacentral:rRNA from 1 species